ACCAGGCUCUGCUGCCACCGAGUCCCUAGCCCCAACUCAACAAACCUGAAAGGCGAGCCCAGACUGUUCACGUGGUGUCUGCAGAGUUCCACUUAUGUAAAUGGAAACACGUAAGGCCUCUUGAGGACAUCAUGUGAGGCUCUGUAAACCAUGCAAGCUUGAGCCAGAGCCCCGCCUUUGGGUGGUGCCUGGGGCACUCCCACAGGUGUAGCACUCCCAAAGCAAGACUCCAGACAGCGGAGAACCUCAUGCCUGGCACCUGAGGUACCCAGCAGCCUCCUGUCUCCCCUUUCAGCCUUCACAGCAGUGAGCUGCAAUGUUGGAGGGCUUCAUCUCGGGCUGCAAGGACCCUGGGAAAGUUCCAGAACUCCACGUCCUUGUCUCAAUUGUGCCAUCAACUUUCAGAGCUAUCAUGAGCCAACCUCACCCCACAGGGCCUCAGUCGCCACCAUGUGGGCCUCUCCAGUGCAAACCACCGAGCAUUCCACCAUGACCGGUCACAGCUACAAAUCCAGAGACCAUCAAUCCUGCUAGAGUGCAGGGUGGCAAGCACCCAAGGGUGGCUGACCAAGACUGCAGAGUCUCCUCCAUCUUCAGGUCCAUUCAGCCUCCUGGCAUUUAACUACCAGCAUCCAGUGGUCCCCAAGGAAUCCCUUCCUAGCCUCCUGACAUGAGUCUGCUGGAAAGAGCAUCCAAACAAACAAGUAAUAAAUAAAUAAAUAAACUCAA
rnacentral:lncRNA from 1 species